CUCUCAUUUUCGUUCCAUUCCCAUUUUCACAUUUCCUCUCCUCCUCUUUCUACUCCACUCUUUCAGUGAAGCUUUUCGCUUUGUUUAGUUCUGCUGACCCAAAGGCCAAGAAAGCCGACUCCUUUGACACUAAGUCAUUGAAAUUCCAUAGCUAGAGAUGAAAAACUUCUGGUGAUGUUACUCCUGAUAUUUUGAGUUCGUCCGAUGACGACGGUGCUGCAGAGAUUCUCUGAGACAAAAGUGCAAGGUAGAUUUAUUGGCUUCGUGGAGCCCAGACGUUCUGAAAUUGCAGCAGCACUGUCAAUGUCUAAUUUAGUCUUCCAGGGAAAAACGAGCAAAAAAUUUAUUAAAAGAGCUCACAAGACACCUCUACUCAUGAGAAGAUUUCUUCUUUAGAACUGUUGCUUUUCUGUGGAAUUAUCAGCUAUAUGAACUACUCUUGUGUUUUCAUAGACAAUAUCUCUGAACCUUACUCGGAAUAAGCUGUUGCAACAUUGGAGGCUGUAUGGUUCUUGGGUGGGCCAUGAACUAUUGAGCUUUUGAUCUGCUUGGAAGUCAAUAGAGCUAGAAAAUGGAGAAGAAGUAAAAUUGGUGUACAAGAAGAGCCUUCCUCAUCCAUGGAAGAGACGGAGGAUUUUGAAUUACUUUGAUAACUGAGAGGGCAUUGUUUCUCUCUUUGUUAGUGGGAAGGGAUAGAGCUCUGGUUGAAGGUACUCUAGCAAAGGAGAAAAAGUUCUACCUUAUCCUAAAAAGCUUUCAUCACAUUUAUUUGAGAUUUCAAACAGAUGACGGUUUCAGAUUGACAGAACACAGUGUUGCAUUAACUUUAGAAGAUAUAUUUGGUUUUUAAACUUUCAAAUUUUGUGUAAUUAUAACUUACUAAUGGUACAUGAAAUAAUUUUUUAUAUCAUGCAA